GAUGAACGCUAGCUACAGGCUUAACACAUGCAAGUCGAGGGGCAGCAUCAUCAAAGCUUGCUUUGAUGGAUGGCGACCGGCGCACGGGUGAGUAACACGUAUCCAACCUGCCGACAACACUGGGAUAGCCUUUCGAAAGAAAGAUUAAUACCGGAUGGCAUAGUUUUCCCGCAUGGGAUAAUUAUUAAAGAAUUUCGGUUGUCGAUGGGGAUGCGUUCCAUUAGGCAGUUGGCGGGGUAACGGCCCACCAAACCAACGAUGGAUAGGGGUUCUGAGAGGAAGGUCCCCCCACAUUGGAACUGAGACACGGUCCAAACUCCUACGGGAGGCAGCAGUGAGGAAUAUUGGUCAAUGGACGAGAGUCUGAACCAGCCAAGUAGCGUGAAGGAUGACUGCCCUAUGGGUUGUAAACUUCUUUUAUACGGGAAUAAAGUUAGCCACGUGUGGCUUUUUGUAUGUACCGUAUGAAUAAGGAUCGGCUAACUCCGUGCCAGCAGCCGCGGU
rnacentral:rRNA from 1 species